GUUUCUGUAGUGUAGUGGUUAUCACGUUCGCCUCACACACGCGAAAGGUCCCCGGUUCGAGACCGGGCAGAAACA